rnacentral:rRNA from 1 species
GUGCCAGCAGCCGCGGUAAUACGGAGGGUGCAAACGUUGCUCGGAAUCAUUGGGCGUAAAGCGCACGUAGGCGGUCGGCUAUGUCGGAUGUGAAAGCCUCGGGCUUAACCCGAGAAGGGCAUCCGAAACUGGCCGGCUUGAGUACGGAAGAGGGUCUCGGAAUUCCCGGUGUAGAGGUGAAAUUCGUAGAUAUCGGGAGGAACACCAGUGGCGAAGGCGGAGACCUGGGCCGAUACUGACGCUGAGGUGCGAAAGCGUGGGGAGCAAACAGGAUUAGAAACCCUUGUAGUCC